AGAGUGAUAAAACAAAAGACUGUCCUGGAUCAGUGCCAGUAACAAAACAUGCAAAUUCUAGCCGGAGUGGUAACUGCAGGCAGGGAAAAGCUCGCCGUCAAGUGCAUGUGUUUCGUAUGGCAGCAGUGGAUUAGGACACCGACGCGAAGAGCAAAUGGAGGCUGCACCGAUUUGAUUGGUUGGCCUGGUCGUCAUUCAACAGUGGCACAUUAUAAGUUACCCGUUAGAGACCUCAAAAUGACUGUCGACAACUGGUGCACCACCACGAACAAUGUCAAGGUUAGCAAAUUUGGGCUGCAGAAACAGGCGACGGCGAUGAGAAACAAUGGAACCACGACAGCAGCAGCAACUAUCACAGGGGUUUCUAGCUUUCCGGCAGCACCUGAAUCUCCAUCUAGGUGUCGUGAGAAAGAAACAAACCCAAAUAUUUCAAUGGCAAUUCAAGUUGUUGUUGUAUUUUCUGUCUUUAUAAAAUGUGAUUUGUGGUUGAAUUAGAAGGGAUACCCAGGUGUUUGGGUUCCGCUCAGACCGGAUCACAUUCUGAAUACACUUUAUUGUAAGUCCCAUCCACUGGUAAACUAGACGUUAGUCAAGCCAUUAAUGCAACUGUGUUAAAGAACUUGUAUUUUGUCUCCUACCUCCAUUGUCUUCAUAAUCUGUGCUCUUUAAGUCAGUAACUGUGACCAAUGUACCAGUUCCAUUUCGGUCCACUUGAAUUGGUAUGUCCACAAACACUCUGCAGAUGUAUCUCCCUGAAUCAUUUCUUGUGAUAUUUGGAAAAAUCAGACGUAAACAGUCAUUUGCGUCCUUUUUCAGAGAUCCUUGAGAUUUAUUCUGCCAAACUUUACUCUGAAUU